UACGUAGGUGGCAAGCGUUGUCCGGAUUUACUGGCGUAAAGAGCGCGCAGGCGGUCGUAUAAGUCGAAUGUGAAAGCCCCCGGCUCAACUGGGGAGGUCAUUCGAUACUGUUCGACUCGAAGGCAGGAGAGGGAAGUGGAAUUCCGGGUGUAGUGGUGAAAUGCGAUAGAUAUCCGGAGGAACACCAGUGGCGAAGGCGGCUCACGUGGUCCGCAACUGACGCUGAGGCGCGAAAGCGUGGGGAGCAAACAGG
rnacentral:rRNA from 1 species